rnacentral:lncRNA from 1 species
GCAUCUAAUUCUUUUGUGAUUAAAAAGAUAAACACACCAUUGUGCUACAACAUUACGCGAAUAUUUUCUCAUAAUUGCGACUUCAUUCUUGAGCAUGAAGAAAAUAAGGCAUUAACCCUUUCUAAAGCUCAUCUUAGUCAUCUAGCACUUAGGCCACUGCCUUGUUCAUACACACAUUUCAGAUUUCUGUCCCUUAAUAAUUUCAAUAAAUAAAACAUAAAGCAUUUAAUAAGCCUGCUAAUACAAAUUCCCAACAAUUACAGAAAAGCAAAAACCAGUUCUUUACAGUAACUGGAAACCAAUUUAUCUCCAGAUUAAGGUAUCAUAACCGAAAGAUGGCGAUAUGCUGAUCAUCAUGCAUAGCCAACGUUAAGUAACCACACCUCAAGCCAAUACUGCAGUUCCCGCUUAAUGAGAACCAGCAUUUUUGGAUGAUUCCUUCAGAGAAGUAGGCAUACCAGAAAUCUCCUGAAUUAUGUCCAAAACAAAAAACAUAAAACAAAAUUGUUAGAUCUCCAUUCACCAAAAAAUUAUCAUAGUAGAUCUCUAAUCACCAAAACCGAUUAUCAGCUAAUAAGGCCACCUAUUCAGACCAUCAGUCAUAUUGGCUACUAGUUGGAGUCCCAUAGCAUGUGUACCUGCUUUUAUUAUCUCUACCUUUUAUUUUAUUUUAUUUUGUGUGUGUGUGUGUGUGUGUGUGAUGAGUCCCCUAGUACAUGAACAAACCAGAAGGAAAAUCCAUCGGAAUGGGCCCUCGGCUUAUUAUGCUAGAGUUUUGCAUAUCAUAUCCAUCAUCUAAGACAGCAAAAUAUACAGUUAACUCCAAAAAAGGCAAUACACAGUAGUUUCCAUUUGUCGCAGGCCUUACUAUCACCUUGCAUAUUUCAUUAAGGUAUAUCCCUUUAAAUAGAUUUUUUAACAGAAUAAAUGGCGAGAAAAGAAAAAACUUGUACAAUUGCAAGCCUUGCUAAAAAAUAAAACAUCGAGUAAGAAUAUCUAGAUAACCUUCAUUAGAUUCAUCCUCAAAUCAGAUGGCUGCACCUGAUUUCCAAUACAUGCCAUUACAAAUGUUGAGUAAUUAAAUAAAACAUCUGCGGCAGCUUGCUUCUUUCCUUCAAUCUGCAGUUUUAUUUCAAGCUUUAACAAUUAAUAAGGACGAUAAUGUAAACCACAAACACCAAAUAAUUUAAAUGGCCUUUACUGACGCAGAGCCGUCCAACAUCAGCUCCCAAUCUAAAAUUUAGUUGUAGUGAGAUCCGGAAAAAUGAAAUCUAGAGGCGAAGGAAGACUUUCUUUCUUAUUGAAGUUUGUCUAUAGCUUAUUCAGGUGCUAAUAUUUCACUUCUAAAACCAAAUCAGAAAGAUUUUAUAGCCGUUAAUGACAAUGUUACAAUCAGUUGGAUUCAGCCCAAAACGUAGGUAAAUCAUCACCAACCUUAUGGAAUCAAUACACGACCCAAUAAAUCGUAUGUGCAGUAUUAAUAAAACAAACUGAUAGUCCUCUGCAGAUUUUUUUAACAGCAUGAAAACUUCAGUGGCAAUAGCUAAGCAGCUAACAAAAUAGAUAUAGUAAAAUGGUGGGAAUUCUAGAAAGAAAGUACAUCAACUCAACAGAGAACAAGGACAGAAAACUCAAGCAUUUGAUUCAGUAUAAUUAAUAUAACAAACAUCCAACAUUCAGAAUCAAAAAAUUCCAGUAAAAAAAGACCACCCUCUAUUUAUGGUUUUCUAACUUAAAGCACCCAGCAAAUUCUUGUGAUCAAAAACUAAAAUUUAUAGAGACUUGAUAAGUUAUCUUCUAAAAGCAUAAAAAAUAUAUAAACUAUUCAACAACACAACCGCAAAUUACAAAUGGGUACCAUCAAGAAUUCAGGGAAAUUGAUAAUAUGAGCAGAGAUAAGUGAGAGGAUCAACAUUAACAAUUAUUGGGAUACAGAUGUGUUUUGAUAUACGACUAUAGAACAACUGAUUACAGGGAUCCCUAAAUCUUUAAAUUUUAAUUAACAGAAAAGAAGUUUGGAGGUACCUCGUAAUCUUCUUCUGGUUUUGAUCCAUUUCUAAGCUUUUCCAUCUCACUCCACUGUUACAAACAAUGGGGCGCCCACGCGGUUUCCCAUACCUUGCAAUUAGGACCAUGCUCCGCAGUCCCGGCGCCAACGCGCGCUAGACGAUUUUAGCCCGGGCGAACACUGCAAUACCGAUGUCACCGUACGAUUGCAACAGUAGUGGACGGCUAUACCAAUUGUUACAAACAAUAGAAGAGCCACACCUUAAAAGCUAGCUAUUAACACUGGAGAGCCACAACUUAAC